AUGGUGCGUAAAUAAAAAGUCUAAAAUACGAACCUCUCCCAAGUAUCGCUUUUCAAUUUAUGAGCUCGUCUUACAAAAGCGGAGCGAAACGCGGCGUGAAAACCAAAAGAUGAUAAAUAAGCACAUUAAGUAUAUCGGGCUGUCGCGCCAUAAUCGCCGCUAGAAUACCGCAUAAAGAAAAGGUGUCCCUGCGCCGGUGGCGAAAUUUUUCUGUAGGUACGGCGGGAUAUACCUAUUUAACUCUAAAAACUUUAUUUAAAAAACAAUUCAACGGCAAGUAGGUAGGUUGGUAAUUUAUUUAUUUAUUGAGAAUAUCCAACAGCUUAUUAAAUAACAAAGAAUAAUUACAGUAGGUACAAUGUUUGUUCGCCAAUCACAGGAUUUACCACAAAUAAAACGGAUUGUAGAACUUGAUGAGAACAGUAACGAAACUAAGGAUACAAAGCUAGGCUUAAAGUAUAAAAUCAUUAAAAUGCUAUAAGUAUUUAUAAAAAAAUAAACAAAAAAGUGAGAACAUG